UCCUCAAUUGAAUUAUUUGAGGUAUGGCCUGCUCAAUGCAUCACGUAAAUAGCCGCAGUAUUCUGACUGUGCAAAGGUAGCAUAAUAAAUUGGCUUUUAAUUGAAGUCUGGAAUGAAUGGUUUGACAAGGAUUUGGCUGUCUUGAAAUAAAAUGUUUUGAAAUUGAAUUGUUUGUAAAAAUGCAGACAUGUAAGAGAGGGACGAGAAGACCCUAUAGAUCUUUAAUAAAUUAUUUAAUUAUUAAUUAAAUAGUUUUUUUUAUUUGGGGAAAAUCCUGAAGUAGAAGAUAAAUAAUUUUCGGUUAAAAAAUGUUUAAAAAUUUAGAAGAUUAAAGUUUGAUCCACCAUAGGUGAGAAGAUGAAAAAGUUACCUUAGGGAUAACAGGACAAUGAUCUUUAUGGAGGCCUUAUCUUUAAAGACGUUUGUUACCUCGAUGUUGAAUUAAGUUAUCUAAUUAAAGAAGAAGUUCUUAAAGUUGGUCUGUUCGACCAUUAAAAAC
rnacentral:rRNA from 1 species